CCCUUAGAUGUUCUGGGCCGCACGCGCGCUACACUGAUGCAUUCAACGAGCCUAUCCUUGACCGACAGGUCCGGGUAAUCUUUGAAUCUGCAUCGUGACGGGGAUAGAUUAUUGCAAUUAUUAAUCUUCAACGAGGAAUGCCUAGUAGGCGCAAGUCAUCAGCUUGCGUCGAUUACGUCCCAGCCCUUUGUACACACCGCCCGUCGCUCCUACCGAUUGGGUGUGCUGGUGAAAUGUUCGGAUCGGCCGUUUGUCGCGGUUUCCGCGGCUCGUGGCUGAGAAGUUCAUUAAACCCUCCCACCUAGAGGAAGGAGAAGUCGUAACA
rnacentral:rRNA from 1 species